rnacentral:rRNA from 1 species
AGUGGCGCACGGGUGAGUAACGCGUGGAUAAUCUGCCCGAGGAUUUGGGAUAACAUCUCGAAAGGGGUGCUAAUACCGAAUAAGCCCACGGGGUCUACGGAUCUUGCGGGAAAAGGGGGGGACUUUCGGGCCUCCUGUCUUCGGAUGAGUCCGCGUACCAUUAGCUAGUUGGUAGGGUAAUGGCCUACCAAGGCGACGAUGGUUAGCUGGUCUGAGAGGAUGAUCAGCCACACUGGAACUGAGGCACGGUCCAGACUCCUACGGGAGGCAGCAGUGGGGAAUUUUGCGCAAUGGGGGAAACCCUGACGCAGCAACGCCGCGUGGGUGAUGAAGGCCUUCGGGUCGUAAAGCCCUGUCGGGAGGGAAGAAAUGAUUGAGAGCUAAUACCUCUUGGUCUUGACGGUACCUCCGAAGGAAGCACCGGCUAACUCCGUGCCAGCAGCCGCGGUAAUACGGAGGGUGCAAGCGUUGUUCGGAAUUAUUGGGCGUAAAGCGCGUGUAGGCGGUCUUUUAAGUCUGAUGUGAAAGCCCCGGGCUCAACCUGGGAAGUGCAUUGGAAACUGGGAGACUUGAGUACGGGAGAGGAGAGUGGAAUUCCUAGUGUAGGAGUGAAAUCCGUAGAUAUUAGGAGGAACACCGGUGGCGAAGGCGGCUCUCUGGACCGAUACUGACGCUGAGACGCGAAAGCGUGGGUAGCAAACAGGAUUAGAUACCCUGGUAGUCCACGCCGUAAACGAGGAGUACUAGGUGUUGC